UACGUAGGGUGCGAGCGUUGUCCGGAAUUAUUGGGCGUAAAGAGCUCGUAGGCGGCUUAGUAAGUCGGGUGUGAAACCUCCAGGCUCAACCUGGAGACGCCACCCGAUACUGCUGUGGCUAGAGUCCGGUAGGGGAGCGUGGAAUUCCUGGUGUAGCGGUGAAAUGCGCAGAUAUCAGGAGGAACACCGGUGGCGAAGGCGGAUCUCUGGGCCUUGCCUGACGCUGAGGCGCGAAAGCUAGGGGAGCGAACAGG
rnacentral:rRNA from 1 species